UCCAAGAGCUGCUGAGAUUCAAAACCCACGGACCAAGAUCAAAUGCGUGCGCUCAUUAUAUUCCAAUCAAGGCAUGCAUUGAAUCAUGCGCCUUGUAUGGGCGGAUUGAAUCCCAGGAUUCGAUCCUUGAUUGAAGAGAGUUAUUAAAAUAAAUCAAGUAGACCUUGAUAAUUUAAUAGAAAAAAUAUCUGUGACAGGACACACGUUUCACGAAGUCGUAUUUCUCUAUGAUUUUAUUGUUUUUAUGUCCACGUUUUCCCCUUAAAACAUUUCGAUUCAUGUUUGGUAAAUUAGUUUAUCGAAUCAAAUACAAAUCAAUUAAAACUCUUGGAGCUUCAGAUUCGGAUUUGCAGUGCAGUUGGCAUCCUACAUUAUCUGAAGCCUAUGCUUGACGCAAAAAGAACUGAACUACCAUCAGACCUCUGAAAUUGAUGCAUUUAUGAAUGAAUGGAAUUAUUUGCUCUGUUGAAAUUUUAUUAUAAAUAAAAAAAUGUGAAAGCGUUGUAGAAAUAA
rnacentral:lncRNA from 1 species